UCUUUUUGUUUAUAUAAAAAGUCUAGCCUGCCCAAUGAAAAUUUAAAUGGCCGCAGUAUUAUAACUGUGCUAAGGUAGCAUAAUCAUUAGUUUCUUAAUUGGAAGCUGGAAUGAAUGGUUGGAUAAAAAAAUAACUGUCUCUAUUUUAAUAAUUUAGAAUUUUAUUUUUAAGUUAAAAAGCUUAAAUAUUUUUAAAAGACGAGAAGACCCUAUAGAGUUUAAUAUUUUAUUUUUAUUAAUUAUUUAGUAUUUAUUAUUAUUUGAUUUAAAGUAUUUAAUUGGGGUGAUUAAAAAAUUAAAUUAACUUUUUUUAUAUUUUAAUAUUUUAAAUAAAUUAAUGAUCCAAUAAUUUUGAUUAUAAGAAAAAUUACCUUAGGGAUAACAGCGUAAUUUUAUUUUAAAGUUCUAAUUGAAAAUAAAGUUUGCGACCUCGAUGUUGGAUUAAAA
rnacentral:rRNA from 1 species